UGCGGAGGGUGCAAGCGUUGUCCGGAAUCACUGGGCGUAAAGGGCGCGUAGGCGGCUCAUGAAGGCUGUGGUGAAAGUCCGGGGCUCAACCUCGGAUCGGCCGUGGCGACUCGUGGGCUGGAGCACUGUAGAGGCGGGUGGAAUUCCGGGUGUAGCGGUGGAAUGCGUAGAGAUCCGGAAGAACACCAGUGGCGAAGGCGGCCCGCUGGGCAGUGGCUGACGCUGAGGCGCGACAGCGUGGGGAGCAAACAGG
rnacentral:rRNA from 1 species